CCCCUAGACGUUCUGGGCUGCACGAGCGCUACAAUAAUACGCACAGCGAGUAUCACCGAGCUCGAAAGGGCAAGGUAAACAAUAGAAAAGGUACUGUAAUGGUUAUAGAUCCUUGUAAUUAUUGAUCUUCAACGAGGAAUUCCUAGUAAGUAUGUGUCAUCAUCACGCACUGAUUACGUCCCUGCCCUUUGUACACACCGCCCGUCGCUCCUACCGAUUGGGUGAGCCGAUGAAACUCUCGGAUGUAGGCUAUUCAUAGCCCGCAGAAGAGAUUUGAAUCGUAGCGCUUAGAGGAAGGAGAAGUCGUAACA
rnacentral:rRNA from 1 species